rnacentral:rRNA from 1 species
GAUGAACGCUGUCUACAGGCUUAACACAUGCAAGUCGAGGGGAAACGACGGGGAAGCUUGCUUCCCCGGGCGUCGACCGGCGCACGGGUGAGUAACGCGUAUCCAACCUGCCUCUGACUGAGGGAUAACCCGUCGAAAGUCGGCCUAAUACCUCAUGGCAUCGUCUGCGGGCAUCCAACGACGAUUAAAGAUUUCAUCGGUCAGGGAUGGGGAUGCGUCUGAUUAGCUUGUUGGCGGGGUAACGGCCCACCAAGGCUACGAUCAGUAGGGGUUCUGAGAGGAAGGUCCCCCACAUUGCAACUGAGACACGGUCCAAACUCCUACGGGAGGCAGCAGUGAGGAAUAUUGGUCAAUGGGCGGGAGCCUGAACCAGCCAAGUAGCGUGCAGGAUGACGGCCCUAUGGGUUGUAAACUGCUUUUAUGCGGGGAUAAAGUGAGGGACGUGUCCUUCAUUGCAGGUACCGCAUGAAUAAGGACCGGCUAAUUCCGUG